GAUGAACGCUAGCGGCGUGCCUAAUACAUGCAAGUCGAGCGAAUGGAUUAAGAGCUUGCUCUUAUGAAGUUAGCGGCGGACGGGUGAGUAACACGUGGGUAACCUGCCCAUAAGACUGGGAUAACUCCGGGAAACCGGGGCUAAUACCGGAUAACAUUUUGAACCGCAUGGAUCGAAAUUGAAAGGCGGCUUCGGCUGUCACUUAUGGAUGGACCCGCGUCGCAUUAGCUAGUUGGGGAGGUAACGGCUCACCAGGGCAACGAUGCGUAGCCGACCUGAGAGGGUGAUCGGCCACACUGGGACUGAGACACGGCCCAGACUCCUACGGGAGGCAGCAGUAGGGAAUCUUCCGCAAUGGACGAAAGUCUGACGGAGCAACGCCGCGUGAGUGAUGAAGGCUUUCGGGUCGUAAAACUCUGUUGUUAGGGAAGAACAAGUGCUAGUUGAAUAAGCUGGCACCUUGACGGUACCUAACCAGAAAGCCACGGCUAACUACGUGCCAGCCGCCGCCGUAA
rnacentral:rRNA from 1 species